rnacentral:lncRNA from 1 species
GACACAUGUCCAUCGAGCCCAUCUUGUGUGUGGGUGUGUAGGUGUGUGUGUCUGUAGGCAGGUACGUAUGGGUGCGUGGAAGUACGUACGUAACUAUGUAUCAAUACACAUACUGUUAGUGAGAAUUGUGCCUAUUUAUCUUUCAGAAUUGGUCCUACCAGUGCCAUUUGGUGAAGUGAUAGACAUCAUCCUUCAGAUAAGAAGUGCUGGUACAAAGAAGCAACAAAUGGAAUCUCAUUCUUAAAAAUCUGCACUGCAAAAGAAACC